rnacentral:rRNA from 1 species
UACGUAGGGAGCGAGCGUUGUCCGGAAUCAUUGGGCGUAAAGCGCGCGUAGGCGGCCCGAUAAGUCCGCUGUGAAAGUCAACGGCUCAACUGUUGGAUGCCGGUGGAUACUGUCGGGCUAGAGUACGGAAGAGGCAAGUGGAAUUCCCGGUGUAGCGGUGGAAUGCGCAGAUAUCAGGAAGAACACCCGUGGCGAAGGCGGCUCUCUGGGACGGUACUGACGCCGAGACGCGAAA